rnacentral:rRNA from 1 species
GAUGAACGCUGGCGGCGUGCCUAAUACAUGCAAGUCGAGCGAACGGACGAGAAGCUUGCUUCUCUGAUGUUAGCGGCGGACGGGUGAGUAACACGUGGAUAACCUACCUAUAAGACUGGGAUAACUUCGGGAAACCGUAGCUAAUACCGGAUAAUAUUUUGAACCGCAUGGUUCAAAAGUGAAAGACGGUCUUGCUGUCACUUAUAGAUGGAUCCGCGCUGCAUUAGCUAGUUGGUAAGGUAACGGCUUACCAAGGCAACGAUGCAUAGCCGACCUGAGAGGGUGAUCGGCCACACUGGAUCUGAGACACGGUCCAGACUCCUACGGGAGGCAGCAGUAGGGAAUCUUCCGCAAAGGGCGAAAGCCUGACGGAGCAACGCCGCGUGAGUGAUGAAGGUCUUCGGAUCGUAAAACUCUGUUAUUAGGGAAGAACAUAUGUGUAAGUAACUGUGCACAUCUUGACGGUACCUAAUCAGAAAGCCACGGCUAACUACGUG